UACGUAGGGGGCGAGCGUUGUCCGGAUUCAUUGGGCGUAAAGGGUGCGUAGGCGGCGCGGUAAGUCGGGUGUGAAAUCUCGGAGCUUAACUCCGAAACUGCAUUCGAUACUGCCGUGCUUGAGGACUGGAGAGGAGACUGGAAUUUACGGUGUAGCGGUGAAAUGCGUAGAUAUCGUAAGGAAGACCAGUGGCGAAGGCGGGUCUCUGGACAGUUCCUGACGCUGAGGCACGAAGGCCAGGGGAGCAAACGGG
rnacentral:rRNA from 1 species